rnacentral:rRNA from 1 species
CCUACGGGGUGCAGCAGUGGGGAAUAUUGGACAAUGGGCGAAAGCCUGAUCCAGCCAUGCCGCGUGUGUGAAGAAGGCCUUCGGGUUGUAAAGCACUUUCAGUGGGGAAGAAAGCCUUGGGGCUAAUACCCUCGAGGAAGGACAUCACCCACAGAAGAAGCACCGGCUAACUACGUGCCAGCAGCCGCGGUAAUACGGAGGGUGCGAGCGUUAAUCGGAAUUACUGGGCGUAAAGCGCGCGUAGGCGGUCUGAUAAGCCGGUUGUGAAAGCCCCGGGCUCAACCUGGGAACGGCAUCCGGAACUGUCAGGCUAGAGUGCAGGAGAGGAAGGUAGAAUUCCCGGUGUAGCGGUGAAAUGCGUAGAGAUCGGGAGGAAUACCAGUGGCGAAGGCGGCCUUCUGGACUGACACUGACGCUGAGGUGCGAAAGCGUGGGUAGCAAACAGGAUUAGAUACCCUGGUAGUC